CUACCAAGGUUAUACCAUUCUCUACUAUCAAUGUAAUGCAAAGUCCAAUUAACAUCUUAAAUUCCAUAUCCGUUCAAAGACUGCACAACCAUAUUAGAUGGUUGGAGGAAUUAUUUACAUUUGAAUUCUAAAAAACUCCUAAUGUGCAUGCUAUUUGUAGAUACCUUUCUUUCACCUCCAAAUUGAUUGAUAGACGGAAAAAAAUGAUAUUCAGCAGGAUUUCGUUUUACAUAGAACAAGCAUCAAGGAAGAUG
rnacentral:lncRNA from 1 species